CAGUGGCGCUGCGCUGAAUGCAACUGCGCGCGCCCGCCGGGUGAGCCAGCGAUCUGAGCCAGGCGGGGGCGGCCCGACCUUUCCCGCCCAGCCUGGGUCAGAGGAAGCCGAAAGCGGCCUCAGCAAGGGGUUCGUUCCGGGCCUCCAGCUAUCAGCUCCCGAUCUCGUGUUUGAGGGUAGCGACCCCGAUUUCUGUUUGCAUGCACAGCCAGCAGCCCUAGCGCCAGAUCCUAAAGCUGGAUAUCUUUUAACUGGGCUACCAGCCCGGGCCUCAAAGUUUUGGUGAGGGCCGCCAGGCUCAGGCCCCAGCGAAGCCCCGAGCGCCAUGGCCGAC
rnacentral:lncRNA from 1 species